UACAGAGGUCCCAAGCGUUGUUCGGAUUCAUUGGGCGUAAAGGGUGUGUGGGCGGCGCCGUAAGUCAGGUGUGAAAUCUCGGGGCUUAACUCCGAAACUGCAUUUGAUACUGCGGUGCUUGAGGACUGGAGAGGAGACUGGAAUUUACGGUGUAGCGGUGAAAUGCGUAGAUAUCGUAAGGAAGACCAGUGGCGAAGGCGGGUCUCUGGACAGUUCCUGACGCUGAGACACGAAGGCCAGGGGAGCAAACGGG
rnacentral:rRNA from 1 species